rnacentral:rRNA from 1 species
GGCGCGAAACCUCCGCAAUGUGAGAAAUCGCGACGGGGGGAUCCCAAGUGCCAUUCUUAACGGGAUGGCUUUUCAUUAGUGUAAAGAGCUUUUGGAAUAAGAGCUGGGCAAGACCGGUGCCAGCCGCCGCGGUAACACCGGCAGCUCUAGUGGUAGCAGUUUUUAUUGGGCCUAAAGCGUCCGUAGCCGGUUUAAUAAGUCUCUGGUGAAAUCCUGCAGCUUAACUGUGGGAAUUGCUGGAGAUACUAUUAGACUUGAGAUCGGGAGAGGUUAGAGGUACUCCCAGGGUAGAGGUGAAAUUCUGUAAUCCUGGGAGGACCGCCUGUUGCGAAGGCGUCUGACUGGAACGAUUCUGACGGUGAGGGACGAAAGCUAGGGGCGCGAACCGGAUUAGAAACCCUAGUAGUCC